rnacentral:tRNA from 1 species
GCCACCUCACCCGGUAUCGAAGUCCCAGGUCAGCCCGAGGGUUCUCCAGCCUCUCCCCUAAAGCGGGUGUCGCAGGUUCGAAUCCUGCCGGGGGCACCA